AAAAUUAAGAUUUGCAGAAAUUUAAGAAAAGCUAACAAAUUUGAUUUUGAAAUAUUACCUUAUUCGAAAUGGAGAUUUGCAAAACUACCCUUUUUUUACUACUCUUUUGCAACAAUACCUUUUUAUAUUGUUCAUUUUUAAAAAUAUUCAUUCCCUUGAACAGAAUGACCAAAUUACCCUCAUCUAAUAAGAACAUCUAAUUGGAAACUGAAAGUUUCCCGCCAAAUUUAUUUUUCCCGCCAAAAAAAAAUUUCCGCCAAACUUUUUUUUCCGCCAAAAAAAAAAUCCAGCCAAAAAAAAAUUUCCGCCAAAAUAUUUUCUCGUAAAUUUUUUUUCCUAGCCAAAAAAAAUGCUUUUAAAAAUCCUUGUAAAUUUUUUAAAAACUCUUUUAAAAAACCUUGUAAAGUUUUUUAAAUGCUUUGGUAGUUACUAAAAACCCUUGUAAAUCAUUUUAAAACCUUUUAAAAUCUUUAUAAAGUCUUUAAAAACAUAGGUAAAACUUUAAAACCCCUUUUUAAACCUUUGUAAAUCAUUUUAAAACUUUUUACAAUAGUUUUACAAGAUUUACAAUCGUUUUUAAGCAUAAGUAAGUGGCAUUGAAUGAUUUACAAGGGAUUUUAAAAGCUUAUAAAAGGGUAAAACAUGAUUUACAAUCGUUUUAAAGCAUAGGUAAGUGACAUAGAAUGAUUUACAAGGGAUUUAAAAAGGGUUAGCAUGGUUUACAAUCGUUUUUUAGCAUGUAAAUUUUUUAAAAACUCUUUUAAAAAACCUUGUAAAGUUUUUUAAAAGCUUUGGUAGUUACUAAAAACCCUUGUAAAUCAUUUUAAAACCUCUUAAAAUCUUUAUAAAGUCUUUAAAAACAUAGGUAAAACUUUAAAACCCCUUUUUAAACCUUUGUAAAUUAUUUUAAAACUUUUUACAAUAGUUUUACAAGAUUUACAAUCGUUUUUAAGCAUAAGUAAGUGGCAUUGAAUGAUUUACAAGGGAUUUAAAAGCUUAUAAAAGGGUAAAACAUGAUUUACAAUCGUUUUAAAGCAUAUGUAAGUGACAUAGAAUGAUUUACAAGGGAUUUAAAAAGGGUUAGCAUGGUUUACAAUCGUUUUUAGCAUGAGUAAGUGGCAUUGAAUGAUUUACAAUGGAUUUUAAAAGCUUAUAAAAGGGUAAAACAUGAUUUACAAUCGUUUUUAAAACAUAAGUAAGUGGCAUAGAAUGAUUUACAAGGAUUUUUAAAAAGGGUUAGUGGUUUACAAUGUUUUUUUAAGUAUAAGUAAGUGGUAUUGAAAUGAUUUACAAGAGAUUUUAAAAGCUUAUAAAAUGAAUUUACAAGCAUUUUUUAACUCUUAUAAAGUCUUUACAAGCAUUUUUUAACUCUUAGAAAAAGAAUUGUAAGUAUUUAAAACAUUUGCAACUUUUUUUGAACCAUUUUAAAACUCUUCUAAACCUUUA
rnacentral:sRNA from 1 species